AAACCCAUUUUCAUUAAAUCACACAAUGCAUUCUUUUUAGUACAACGCUGCUGUUAAAACUUUCAAUAAUAUUAAUAAUGAUCUAUCACAGCUGAGUAGGCUAAAUGUAGAGGAAACACUGCAUAUGGAUCAGUGUGUUGGAGUUCUGAGGUAAAAACAGACUGAUACUGAUGGAUUGAUAAACUGGUAGACCUAAUGGAAUGACCAGGGGACACCCCUCUCUGUGGGCCAAAACAAUUUACUAAGUGUGGAAAUAUAUAUGUGGUAUGACUACUGUGGGUUUGUAAGCCUUGUAUGAAUACAACAUAACCAUACAUUGUGACAUGUUUAUUCUUACUAAAAUAAUUUAUAUUGGCUGUCUCACUGCGUUGCUUUGAACAUGAUUGGUUUAUCUGACUGUCAUCCAUGAAACUGCCCAAUGACAACUGCGCGCCUUUUGCCGCUCAAAUUUGAAAAUAGGUCCGUUUGAGUGGUGUGCUGUUGUUACGGAGCAUACACAGUUCGCACUCCGCACUACUACUUGGUUGGUCUACUGCUAAUGGGUGUUAGGCUACCUGCCUAGAUUAUUUAAAAUGUUCCUGCUAAAUACAAAUUUGAGUCGUGGGAUGACAACGGAGACAAAACCUAAAUAUGGACACUGAGGAGGAGUCAGGCAGGUUCUGUUUAGUAAAUGGAUUUUUAUUUUGAUCUUAUCAGGUCAUAAAACAUUUCCCCUGCUAUUUAUGUAGAGCUACACUACUGUAGUAUACUCGACAGUACUGUACUACAGUACAACCUAACAACUUUGUUCUUAUCCUCAUGUCCUUUACGAAAGCCAACUGCCCAGUUUGACCAACGAUGAGUAACGGACAACCAGCAUAAGCCAACUGCCCACUUUUACCAACGAUGAGUAAUGGACAACCAGCAUAAGAUACCAGCAUUGUGUUACCCUCGUGUGUGAUCGCCCAUUACUGCUGUGUUGCAGACGUUUUGGGAAUGGAAAGUCCCCUGCUGCAGAGUAGGAUGGAUCCAGCUGACUGCUAACAAUUUGGAGGAGGAUUGCUCUUUAUCUGCUAUGUUGCACUGUCGACUUCUGGUACAAAUGAAUUGACCUUUUGUGCCAUGCUUUUUUUACUUAACUUAA